UCUGCCGCUCAUGGAUGGGCCUGCGGUGCAUUAGCUAGUUGGUGAGGUAGUGGCUCACCAAGGCGACGAUGCAUAGCCGACCUGAGAGGGUGAUCGGCCACACUGGGACUGAGACACGGCCCAGACUCCUACGGGAGGCAGCAGUAGGGAAUCUUCCGCAAUGGACGCAAGUCUGACGGAGCAACGCCGCGUGAGUGAUGAAGGGUUUCGGCUCGUAAAACUCUGUUGUUAAGGAAGAACACUUGAGGUAGUAACUGGCCUCGAGCUGACGGUACUUAACCAGAAAGCCACGGCUAACUACGUGCCAGCAGCCGCGGUAAUACGUAGGUGGCAAGCGUUAUCCGGAAUUAUUGGGCGUAAAGCGCGCGUAGGCGGUAGAAUAAGUCUGAUGUGAAAGCCCCUGGCUCAACCAGGGAGGGUCAUUGGAAACUGUUUUACUUGAGUACAGAAGAGGAGAGUGGAAUUCCAUGUGUAGCGGUGAAAUGCGCAGAGAUAUGGAGGAACACCAGUGGCGAAGGCGGCUCUCUGGUCUGUAACUGACGCUGAGGUGCGAAAGCAUGGGGAUCAAACAGGAUUAGAUACCCUGGUAGUCCACGCCGUAAACGAUGAGUGCUAAGUGUUGGGGGGUUUCCGCCCCUCAGUGCUGCAGCUAAC
rnacentral:rRNA from 1 species